rnacentral:rRNA from 1 species
UGGGGAAUUUUGGACAAUGGGCGAAAGCCUGAUCCAGCAAUGCCGCGUGUGUGAAGAAGGCCUUCGGGUUGUAAAGCACUUUUGUCCGGAAAGAAAUCCUUGGCUCUAAUACAGUCGGGGGAUGACGGUACCGGAAGAAUAAGCACCGGCUAACUACGUGCCAGCAGCCGCGGUAAUACGUAGGGUGCAAGCGUUAAUCGGAAUUACUGGGCGUAAAGCGUGCGCAGGCGGUUUGCUAAGACCGAUGUGAAAUCCCCGGGCUCAACCUGGGAACUGCAUUGGUGACUGGCAGGCUAGAGUAUGGCAGAGGGGGGUAGAAUUCCACGUGUAGCAGUGAAAUGCGUAGAGAUGUGGAGGAAUACCGAUGGCGAAGGCAGCCCCCUGGGCCAAUACUGACGCUCAUGCACGAAAGCGUGGGGAGCAAACAGGAUUAGAUACCCUGGUAGUCCACGCCCUAAACGAUGUCAACUAGUUGUUGGGGAUUCAUUUCCUUAGUAACGUAGCUAACGCGUGAAGUUGACCGCCUGGGGAGUACGGUCGCAAGAUUAGAACUCAAAUGAAUUGACGGGGUCAUAGCUGUUUCCU